CUCCAGCGCGGUACAGCGCCUCGUCCAGCUCCAUUCAAGCGGAUACCUAUAGCGCCUGGUGGAUCCAAAACGCUUGUUGUGCGUGCUAUUCGCGGCGUCGGCGGCCAGCGCGCUGUCGCUGCCGCUCGCCCGUCGAGAGGUGUCCCCUACCGACCAGCGGGCCGACCCGUCCCUGCUGCUCUACUCGUCAGCCGUGCCGUCGGCGGUUGGCCUUGCCGGCCUGCCGAUCGUCCAGUCGCCGAUCGUCCAGUCGCCGAUCGUCCAGUCGCCGCUAAUUUGGAGGAAAAAGAGGGAUGUCGGCGCUGCCGAGAUGGACCAGCAGGCCGAUCCCGCCCUGCUUGUAUACUCCGCCCUGCCCAUAAGCUCCAGUAUUUACUCGCCGUUUAUCUGGAGAAAGAAGCGGGACACUGCUGACCAGAGUGCCGACGCGUCAACGAUCCUGUACAGCAUGCCGUUGAGGUCCAGCAUUCUCAGAAACAGCGCCUUCGUUAUGCCGCUGCUGAAGAAGUAGACUCGUGAGCUCCUUGACCAUGCCUUACACUAGUCGUGCCCUGACUUUGAAUAUCAUUUGUGACAACAUAAGCCCCUCACAGUGUCUGCAGCCUGUGCAGGACUUUCAGGUGGUGGCUGCCUCAGUAUUCGUAAGCAAAUACAAAUAGUAUUAACCCUC